CCUACGGGCGGCAGCAGUGGGGAAUAUUGCACAAUGGGGGAAACCCUGAUGCAGCGACGCCGCGUGAGUGAAGAAGUAUCUCGGUACGUAAAGCUCUAUCAGCCGGGAAGAAAAUGACGGUACCUGACUAAGAAGCCCCGGCUAACUACGUGCCAGCAGCCGCGGUAAUACGUAGGGGGCAAGCGUUAUCCGGGUUUACUGGGUGUAAAGGGCGCGUAGACGGCAGCACAAGUCUGGAGUGAAAUCCCAGGGCUUAAGCCCGGAACUGCUUUGGAAACUGUGCGGCUGGAGUGCAGGAGGGGUAAGCGGAAUUCCUAGUGUAGCGGUGAAAUGCGUAGAUAUUAGGAGGAACACCGGUGGCGAAGGCGGCUUACUGGACUGUAACUGACGUUGAGGCUCGAAAGCGUGGGGAGCAAACAGGAUUAGAUACCCCAGUAGUC
rnacentral:rRNA from 1 species